AGUAGUGCACUACUAUUAACCAGAGGCCUUACUAACCAGUAGUAGUGCACUACUAUUAACCAGAGGCCUUACUAACCUGUAGUAGUGCACUAUAAAAGGAAUAUUUGGGAGCCUGCUGGUGUGCUGCAUAACUAGAUAAUGUUCUCUCUGUGGUAGUAAUGCUAACGAUGAUAGGCUAGGGAUCAGUGGUAGUAAUGCUAACGAUGAUAGGUUAGGGAUCAGUGGUAGUAAUGCUAUAAUGCUAAUGAUAGGCUAGGGAUCAGUGGUAGUAAUGCUAUAAUGCUAAUGAUAGGCUAGGGAUCAGUGGUAGUAAUGCUAUAAUGCUAAUGAUAGGCUAGGGAUCAGUGGUAGUAAUGCUAACGAUGAUAGGCUAGGGAUCAGUGGUAGUAAUGUUAUAAUGCUAAUGAUAGGCUAGGGAUCAGUGGUAGUAAUGCUAUAAUGCUAAUGAUAGGCUAGGGAUCAGUGGUAGUAAUGCUAUAAUGCUAAUGAUAGGUUAGGGAUCGGUGGUAGUAAUGUUAUAAUGCUAAUGAUAGGCUAGGGAUCAGUGGUAGUAAUGUUAUAAUGCUAAUGAUAGGUUAGGGAUCAGUGGUAGUAAUGCUAUAAUGCUAAUGAUAGGCUAGGGAUCAGUGGUAGUAAUGUUAUAAUGCUAAUGAUAGGCUAGGGAUCAGUGGUAGUAAUGCUAUAAUGCUAAUGAUAGGCUAGGGAUCAGUGGUAGUAAUGCUAAUGGUGAUAGGCUAGGGAUCAGUGGAAGUUAUGCUAAUUAUGAUAGGCUAGGGAACAGUGGUAGUAAUGCUAUAUUGCUAAUGAUAGGCUAGGGAUCAGUGGUAGUAAUGCUAUAAUGCUAAUGAUAGGCUAGGGAUCAGUAGUAGUAAUGCUACUGAUGAUAGGCUAGGCAACAGUGGUAGUAAUGCUAAUGAUUAUAGGCUAGGGAUCAGUGGUAGUAAUGCUAAUGAUGAUAGGCUAGGGAACAGUGGUAGUAAUGCUAAUGAUGAUAGGCUAGGGAACAGUGGUAGUAAUGCUAAUAAUGAUAGGCUAGGGAACAGUGGUAGUAAUGCUAAUGAUGAUAGGCUAGGGAACAGUGGUAGUAAUGCUAUAAUGCUAAUGAUGAUAGGCUAGGGUUGCAAAAUUAGGCUAGUGUUGCAAAAUUCCUGAAACGUUCCCUACAUUUCCAAGGUUUUUUAUUAAUCAUGUUUCAAGGUAUUUCUGAUAUCAGGAAGGAUUAACUAGGGAAGGCAUCCUCCUACUGAGAUUUAUGAGGAAUUUCAGAGUUCUGAAAAGCAUGUAGCUCAAUAACCAGUAUCUGAGCUGUGAAGCACUUUCCGUUGUGUUGCUAAAUUGACCAGGUUGUUGUCAUGGGGAUGGAUGGUGGCAGAACGUGUUGUUGCCACUACUCGUGAUGCUAGCAUGGUCUAGUCUGAGUCCUGAGUCCCAGCUCUGUUUGUGCUGUCUUGCCAACUCUAUGUGAUUUACAGGAGUCGCUAAGACAGCACAAACGAAUGUGGGACCAGGCUAAGCAUGGUUCACCUUGGUGUCAAGGGUCAACUAAUCAAGUCAAGUAAUGGCACAUACAUAACCACUGUCUGGAGAGACCUGCAGAGACCUACAGCUAGACUCCCUAACACAGUGUCUGUUCAGACGGAUUCAUUAGAGCUAGACUCCCUAACACAGUGUCUGUUCAGACUGAUUCAUUAGAGCUAGACUCACUAACACAGUGUCUGUUCAGACUGAUUCAUUAGAGCUAGAAUCCCUAACACAGUGUCUGUUCAGACUAAUGCCUUGAGUACUGAGUAAGGACUUGUUUCAGCGCCUAAUGCCUUGAGUACUGAGUAAGGACUUGUUUCAGCGCCUAAUGCCUUGAGUACUGAGUAAUGACUUGUUUCAGUGCCUAAUGCCUUGAGUACUGAGUAGUGACUUGUUUCAGUGCCUAAUGCUUUGAGUACUGAGUAGUGACUUGUUUCAGUGCCUUUAUUGUAGAAUGACUUGUUGGUUGGUCUGUAGAUAGUUUUCAGAUGCCACCUCCCCUUCUCUUGAAGCCCAGCUCACCUAUCUCUCGGAGUUGGUGGACAGGUCAGGUUCCUACCCUUAAAAAUGUACGUGUGAUCAGGGUGAUUGGCAGGUAGCCAAGGAGCGCUACAGUUCACUCCAAGCAGAUCACACAAUUUACCACGGCCAACAGCAGGCCUGGUCUGCAGGGUAAUAGUAGUGUGGGUAGGAGCCACUGUCUGGAGUUAGAUCAGAUUAACUUCAUUAAUAACCCACUGUCUGGAGUCAGACCAGAUUAACUUCAUUAAUAAGCCACUGUCUGGAGUCAGACCAGAUUAACUUCAUUAAUAACCCACUGUCUGGAGUCAGACCAGAUUAACUUCAUUAAUAACCCACUGUCUGGAGUCAGACCAGAUUAACUUCAUUAAUAACCCACUGUCUGGAGUUAGACCAGAUUAACAUCAUUAAUAACCCACUGUCUGGAGUCAGACCAGAUUAACUUCAUUAAUAACCCACUGUCUGGAGUCAGACCAGAUUAACUUCAUUAAUAACCCACUGUCUGGAGUCAGACCAGAUUAACUUCAUUAAUAACCCACUGUCUGGAGUCAGACCAGAUUAACAUCAUUAAUAACCCACUGUCUGGAGUCAGACCAGAUUAACUUCAUUAAUAACCCACUGUCUGGAGUCAGACCAGAUUAACAUCAUUAAUAACCCACUGUCUGGAGUCAGACCAGAUUAACUUCAUUAAUAACCCACUGUCUGGAGUCAGACCAGAUUAACAUCAUUAAUAACCCACUGUCUGGAGUCAGAUCAGAUUAACUUCAUUAAUAAACCACUGUCUGGAGUCAGACCAGAUUAACAUCAUUCAUAACCCACUGUCUGGAGUUAGACCAGAAUAACAUCAUUAAUAACCCACUGUCUGGAGUCAAACCAGAUUAACAUCAUUAAUAACCCACUGUCUGGAGUCAGAGCAGAUUAACAUCAUUCAUAACCCACUGUCUGGAGUCAGACCAGAUUAACAUCAUUAAUAACCCACUGUCUGGAGUCAGACCAGAUUAACAUCAUUCAUAACCCAUUUCCACGUAAAAUAGUGUCUGUUUUGCACUGAAUUUAAAACAACCCAUCAAGCAAAUGAUGAGCGUUACGAAAUAGUCUGCACUGCUUCCGUGAUAAUGAAUGCUAAAUUAGCAAGCUAUAUUGAUAUGCUAUUAUGGACCACCAUGACUGGUAACAUGAACGACCUGAAUGUUUAUUACCCCUGUCACCACUACCUUUUCUGGGAAUGACUGCAGCCUUGUAUCGUACUGUGAUGACCUGGGAUGUGUUCAUUGGGCACCAAACAGUAGAAAACUGAUUUAAAACAGGGAGGGACUACCUGCACUAGUAGUCCAAUAACAAACACUAAAAUGUAUAUUUUCCUGUUGUAAAACAUUUAUGGUAGAAUUCAGAUGGCACCAUUUGUCACGAUUGUCGUUGGGAGAAGGAGAAGAGGACCAAAGAGCAGCGUGGUAUACUGGAACAAAAACAACAGACCGACAAACGAACAGUUCUGCAAGGUGCAACAAAAACACGAAACAGAAAAUUCUACACAUAGAAUACAUAACAUAAUGCCCACCCCAACUCACGCCCUGACCAAACUAAAACAGAGCCAUAAAAAAGGAACUAAGGUCAGGGCGUGACACCAUUCUUCCAUAGGGGUUGAAAGAAGCGCACUUUUUUUUAUUUUUUAUUAGUGCUAGCUUUGGAGUAGGCUAGCUUUGGAGCAGGCUAGCUUUGGAGUAGGCUAGCUUUGGAGCAGGCUAGCUUUGGAGUAGGCUAGCUUUGGAGCAGGCUAGCUUUGGAGCAGGCUAGCUUUGGAGUAGGCUAGCUUUGGAGUAGGCUAGCUUUGGAGUAGGCUAGCUUUGGAGCAGGCUAGCUUUGGAGUAGGCUAGCUUUGGAGUAGGCUAGCUUUGGAGUAGGCUAGCUUUGGAGCAGGCUAGCUUUGGAGUAGGCUAGCUUUGGAGUAGGCUAGCUUUGGAGCAGGCUAGCUUUGGAGUAGGCUAGCUUUGGAGCAGGCUAGCUUUGGAGCAGGCUAGCUUUGCUCGGUCUAUGUAGUCCCCUUAACUAUUGCUGUUGUUUGGUUUUAAUUAUGUCAAUGAUCUUUCACUUUAUUUCUCGGCACCACUGUUAUUAUGUUUUCAUUCAUGCUGUGCUGUGAUUUGUUGUUGUUGUUGUUGUUAUUUCUUAUUUGUUUUGUUUAUAAUUAAACUCUUCUCUCUGUGUCCACUAAUUACAAUGAAUAAAUAAACUUACCUCGGAGUUUAAAGGUCCCAUUCA